UGAGGAAUAUUGCGCAAUGGAGGGAACUCUGACGCAGCGACGCCGCGUGAAGGAUGAAUGCCCUCUGGGUUGUAAACUUCUGUAGAGAGGGAAGAAUGUCCGCCUUCGGCGGAUUGACGGUACCUCUAAAGUAAGCAUCGGCUAACUCCGUGCCAGCAGCCGCGGUAAUACGGAGGGUGCGAGCGUUACCCGGAUUUACUGGGUGUAAAGGGCGUGUAGGCGGUUUCUCAAGUCCGAUGCUAAAGACCGAAGCUCAACUUCGGGAGUGCGUUGGAUACUGUGAGGCUAGACGGUCGGAGAGGGUAGCGGAAUUUCCUGAGUAGCGGUGAAAUGCGCAGAUACAGGAAGGAACGCCAAUAGCGAAAGCAGCUACCUGGACGAUUUGUGACGCUGAGGCGCGAAAGCGUGGGGAGCAAACC
rnacentral:rRNA from 1 species